rnacentral:tRNA from 1 species
GGUCGGUUGACCGAGUGGCUAGGUACCGGUCUGCAAAACCGUGCACGGCGGUUCGAUUCCGCCACCGACCU